rnacentral:rRNA from 1 species
GACGUAGGGCGCGAGCGUUUGUCCGGAUUUAUUGGGCGUAAAGAGCUCGUAGGCGGCUUGUCGCGUCGGAUGUGAAAGCCCGGGGCUUAACCCCGGGUCUGCAUUCGAUACGGGCAGGCUAGAGUUCGGUAGGGGAGACUGGAAUUCCUGGUGUAGCGGUGAAAUGCGCAGAUAUCAGGAGGAACACCGGUGGCGAAGGCGGGUCUCUGGGCCGAUACUGACGCUGAGGAGCGAAAGCGUGGGGAGCGAACAGG